UACUCCUACGGGAGGCAGCAGUGGGGAAUAUUGCACAAUGGGGGAAACCCUGAUGCAGCGACGCCGCGUGAGCGAAGAAGUAUUUCGGUAUGUAAAGCUCUAUCAGCAGGGAAGAAGAAUGACGGUACCUGACUAAGAAGCACCGGCUAAAUACGUGCCAGCAGCCGCGGUAAU
rnacentral:rRNA from 1 species